UUACAAACCAUACUUUAUUUCAACUUGCGGCUCAACACUAACCAACAUCCUAUUCUGCUACAGUAACCUCAACCCAUCACAGAUCGAUACCGUUCUUCACCAAUCAACCCUGGUUUUGCAAUACCACUCUAACCAUAGCUAAAUCUGAAAAACUUUUCAUAUUCAUACAGAUCCUUUCCAUGGUGUACACGCAGAGAGAAUCGGUUAUGUUAUAUAUAAUGGGAAGAGGAAGAGUUCUGUUGAAAAGAAUAAAGAAGAAGAUAAAUCGACACGUGAAUUUUUCGAAGAAGAGAUCUGGUCCGCUGACGAAAGCUCAUGAGAUUUCUGUUCUUUUUGAUGCAGAUUUGAGUUUGAUUGUGUUAUCAACCAGAAAUGUUACUGAUGCCUGGUACCUACGUGUCUAUACUACUCUUCUCGUUCUCUUUCUCUUUCUCGUUCUCGUUUUCGUUUACACGAUAAUAUUUGAGCUUAUUUUUCUUUUUUUACGACGGUCGAGCCUUAUCUAAUAAGAAUUUGUAUUGUUCAACCUUAUCGAGUAACACAUCGAGGGUAUUUUUUGUUUCAUGCAAUCAUUUAUUUGCUUUUGCAAACCUUCACCUCUACUGUGUGAAAGAAAGGUGAAGUCUUGAAGUUAUCCUGAUUCAGGAUAUUUUGCUGCGAAUAAUGAGUACAGAAAUUUGUCAAUAGACCGAUC
rnacentral:lncRNA from 1 species